GUAACUCAGCAACAGAAAAACAGAAUGCCCUGAUGUCCCACGCCCAGCCCGAGGUCUAAAGUCAGAUGACCAAACACCCAGGACUCGCCACUGGACCCUGAGAUGGUUGUCAGGCGCAAGAAUUUUCUUCACUCAGGAAUGUGAAGCCACAAAGGACAGAGAAAGAAAAUGGGAGCUGGCUGCUUCUCAGCGUUCAGUCACGUCUCAGCAAGUUGGGCGUGGGCACCAGGCACGGGCACCAGGGCUCAGGCACCAGGCACGGGCACCAGGCGUGGGCACCAGGCGCGGGCACCAGGCGCAGGCACCAGGCACGGGCACCAGGCACGGGCACCAGGGCUCAGGCACCAGGCACGGGCACCAGGCGUGGGCAACAGGCGCGGGCACCAGGGCAUGGGUGCGCUGUUCUGAGUGAGCUCUUUGGAUGGACCAAGUACAGAGUCCCCAGCUGCCCCUAGCUCCUUCCUCAGGAGCAGGAACAUUCUGGAAGGACCUGUCCCAUUCGCUAUGCCCAGCGCUGCCCAGAUGUGACGGCCACCGCCAGCUUCUGUCCUCGAGGGUGUAGCUGAAGGCGGACACACAGGAACCUCGUGAGACCCCGGACACGCCCGCAUGAAGAGGAGGCCGGAGCGAGUCCAAGGCUGAGAACACGCAGCUGCCCAGGGGCCCCGAGGCAGACCCGGGCUCCGGAGGUGAGUGUGCUGCCCUGAGGGCGCGGCUGUUCCCUCCCGCCCAGAGGCGGCAGCGGCUGGGCCUGGUGUUUCCUGGGGGCAGCCAGCGGAGGGGGCUCUGAGGUCCAGCAGGGCGGGGUGAGCCCCGCUGUCUGCCCGAGGGGCGUGGGCGCCGCCUGCAGGCCGGAUAGCGCAGUGCAGGUACCGGGCGCCCAGGGCGGUGGAAGCAGCAAUUCAAGUCCAGCCCCCAGGCCGGAGCCAGAACAUGCUGGCGGCGCAGCAACGGACGUGACACCAUAAACCAUCUUUCAAAAUGUCUCUUUCAGGGAGCACCUUCUGGCACGUGGUCACAUUCUUGUUUUCCUGGUGGGGAGCCCCAAGCGCACCAUCCCCUCAGGCCCUGGGGAACAGCAGAGACGCGGGUCCCGGCCCCGAGCCGGCAGCCCUGCUCUCCCUGAGCCCGGCAGAGGACACGCUUCACAAAAGAAAUGGAAUGAGUUGUUAUUGGCGGGGCCAAGAUGAGUUAUGUCUUGAAGUCUGCUUUAUAAAUAAAC